CCCUUAGAUGUUCUGGGCCGCACGCGUGCUACACUGAGUGGAUCAGCGGGUCAGGUUGCGCGAAAGCGUUUCCUAAUCUUUAAAUCCGCUCGUGAUGGGGAUUGACGGUUGCAAUUUUCUGUCAUGAACGAGGAAUACCUUGUAAGCGCGGGUCAUCAUCCCGCGCUGAAUACGUCCCUGCCCUUUGUACACACCGCCCGUCGCUCCUACCGAUUGAGUGGUCCGGUGAGGCUUUGGGAUCUGAGCGGAAAGAGCGUUUCGCUGUUUCUGCUCGGAAAACUCAGUCGAACCUUAUCAUUUAGAGGAAGGAGAAGUCUUAACA
rnacentral:rRNA from 1 species